rnacentral:rRNA from 1 species
CCUACGGGUGGCAGCAGUGGGGAAUAUUGGACAAUGGGCGAAAGCCUGAUCCAGCCAUGCCGCGUGUGUGAAGAAGGCCUUCGGGUUGUAAAGCACUUUCAGUGGGGAAGAAAGCCUUGGGGCUAAUACCCUCGAGGAAGGACAUCACCCACAGAAGAAGCACCGGCUAACUCCGUGCCAGCAGCCGCGGUAAUACGGAGGGUGCGAGCGUUAAUCGGAAUUACUGGGCGUAAAGCGCGCGUAGGCGGUCUGAUAAGCCGGUUGUGAAAGCCCCGGGCUCAACCUGGGAACGGCAUCCGGAACUGGCAGGCUAGAGUGCAGGAGAGGAAGGUAGAAUUCCCGGUGUAGCGGUGAAAUGCGUAGAGAUCGGGAGGAAUACCAGUGGCGAAGGCGGCCUUCUGGACUGACACUGACGCUGAGGUGCGAAAGCGUGGGUAGCAAACAGGAUUAGAUACCCGAGUAGUC